rfam:Felis catus isolate Cinnamon breed Abyssinian chromosome A1, whole genome shotgun sequence.
GCCUGGGUGGCUCAGUCGGUUAAGCGUCCGACUUCGGCUCAGGUCAUGAUCUCACGGUCCGUGGGCUCGAGCCCCGUCUCAGGCU